rnacentral:RNase_P_RNA from 1 species
GACGCAAAACGUUCUAUCGCUAUCCCGAUUUGUCGGGAGGGAGGAAAGUCCGGGCAACGCAGAGCAUCCUGCUUCCUAACCGGAAGGCGCCGACAGCCGGCGACAGCCAGUGCCACAGAAAAUAUACCGCCCCAACUUGUUGGGGUAAGGGUGAAAACGUGAGGUAAGAGCUCACGGCGAUUACGGGCGACCGUAGUGGCGGUAAACCUCAGGAGUUGAAAAACCAAAUAGGUCCCGGAAGUGGAGUGGCUCGCUCCCGUAUAACGAUUUAUCGUAUCGCCGGGAUGGGUAGGUUGCUAAAGCCUGUCAGCAAUGGCAGGCGCAGAUUAAUGAUAGAAGUCGCUUAAGCGAUACAGAACCCGGCUUACAGAUUUGCUGCUGAU